rnacentral:lncRNA from 9 species
GUGCCCAUUGGAGCCAAUCAGCUGAGUACAUAAUACAGAAUGAGGAGGAAAGAGACCAGCUACGAAACACCAAAAAUAACUGCUUGGUGCACUGAUAAUUGCGUUAUUCUCUGCUUUUCCACCACUCGCAUUAGCUCUGGGGGAAGGAAACAUCCUGCUUCCCUAAGUCGAACACUUUAUUGCCAACCUGAAACGAUUUCAGGAUUGGCUUCCAGAGGUGGAAGCAGCACAGCCGCGUGCACAGCGUUGCAAGUGUGCAGACAGCGGGCUCUCAGCAUCCUGCAAUUCUCCUCAAGGUGAGACCUUCCCAGCCCCCGGCCCCAGCCCACGUGUGGACCCCUGGUUACCCCCAUGCUCCGGUGUUGCCCAGUGCAGGCCUGGAGCAGCCAGGGAGCCACAGGGACCUGAAACAACACGCGUCUGUGUGUGACUCAGCCGGGGCUUCCCCGCAGCCUCUGGGCGCAGGAAGUUUACCUGGGAGGGGAGGCUGGAGAGGAGCCGGGGGGGAGAGGCAGGGGGCUGCAGACCCCGGGAGACCUGCCCAGCCGCUGGACAGUAUGGGCAGCUCUGGGGCCAGGACGAGGAGUCUGAGUGCAGGCAGGAGCUCCUUCUGCAGCCCAGCAAAUCCUCCACUGGUCUGGGUGAUCAGAGGGGGUGCCUGCCCGCGGGGCUCACAGUGGCGUCCGUCCAGACUGUGCCUGCAGCCACCUCAACAGCCUUCAGGUCAGAUGGGCCACCUCUUCUGAUUGAGGCAACAGGAGGGUGAGCUGAUAGGUCCUCACCCCACGCUUGGCAAAUGCCAAGGGCCCGUCCCUGCAAACAAAGAACCAAGGUCAGUGGGUCAGGGAGGGAGGAAGAGCCUCCCUGAAACUGCCCCAGCUCCGCCCCUGGAUAGUGGGGGGCCAGGUCCACAAAGCUCCCGCCCCCGAAAAGACAGAGGUAACCGGCUCCCGGGAAGCAAGCGGCUGCCUGCCUGCCGGGGGCACAGAGGAGCUGCUGCCGGCUUGGCCUGGCGGGUCCGCACCUGAUGGGUCAGUAAUCCGGAGGGUGAGCCCCCUUCGUCUGUUCCUCAGAGAACAGGGCCACCCUUUCUGGCUUCACGGUAGCAGGAAGGAGUUCUGGGCCAGGUCUGGAUUGACAGCAGCUGCCUGGGGGUUAGGUUGAAGGCAGAACACUGAUUUCAGGCCAGGUCCUCUCUGCCGAGGAGGCAGUAGAAUUUUCUGGAAGCUUCUGAAUGCAGGUCCCAGGCCGGCUCUGCAGGCCGAAGAGUGCUGGGCACCCGGAGCUGGGACGCAGGUGGGCUGCCGUGGGGCACAGCCAGGGCAUUCUCUGCAGCAGCCGGCUGUUAGGGGGAAGCCGAACCAAAGGGGGGGGGUUCCUGGGCCCCGGGCCUGGGCCCUGCUCCUGGGUCCUCCCCAGGUGGGCUCUGGGGCCUCCGCUGAGCCCCCAGGUCAGGGUCAGGGCGUGGCAUCCUGUGCAAAGAGCUGGGGGGUCCUAACUG